GAUGAACGCUGGCGGCGUGCCUAAUACAUGCAGGUCGAGCGAACAGACGAGGAGCUUGCUCCUCUGACGUUAGCGGCGGACGGGUGAGUAACAAGUGGAUAACCUACCUAUAAGACUGGGAUAACUUCGGGAAACCUGAGCUAAUACCGGACAAUAUAUUGAACCGCAUGGUUGAAUAGUGAAAGACGGUUUUGCUGUCACUUAUAGAUGGAUCCGCGCCGCAUUAGCUAGUUGGUAAGGUAACGGCUUACCAAGGCAACGAUGCGUAGCCGACCUGAGAGGGUGAUCGGCCACACUGGAACUGAGACACGGUCCAGACUCCUACGGGAGGCAGCAGUAGGGAAUCUUCCGCAAUGGGCGAAAGCCUGACGGAGCAACGCCGCGUGAGUGAUGAAGGUCUUCGGAUCGUAAAACUCUGUUAUUAGGGAAGAACAAAUGUGUAAGUAACUAUGCACGUCUUGACGGUACCUAAUCAGAAAGCCCCGGCUAACUACGUG
rnacentral:rRNA from 1 species